rnacentral:precursor_RNA from 1 species
UAAGAGAAAAACUCGAUCAACUUUAGGUAUAAAGUUGAUCGAGUUUUUCUCU